rnacentral:rRNA from 1 species
UUUUAUUUGAGAGUUUGAUCCUGGCUCAGGAUGAACGCUGGCGGCGUGCCUAACACAUGCAAGUUGAGCGAUUUACUUCGGUAAAGAGCGGCGGACGGGUGAGUAACGCGUGGGUAACCUACCCUGUACACACGGAUAACAUACCGAAAGGUAUGCUAAUACGGGAUAAUAUAUUUGAGAGGCAUCUCUUGAAUAUCAAAGGUGAGCCAGUACAGGAUGGACCCGCGUCUGAUUAGCUAGUUGGUAAGGUAACGGCUUACCAAGGCGACGAUCAGUAGCCGACCUGAGAGGGUGAUCGGCCACAUUGGAACUGAGACACGGUCCAAACUCCUACGGGAGGCAGCAGUGGGGAAGAUUGCACAAUGGGCGAAAGCCUGAUGCAGCAACGCCGCGGGAGUGAUGAAGGCCUUCGGGUCGUAAAACUCUGUCCUCAAGGAAGAUAAUGACGGUACUUGAGGAGGAAGCCCCGGCUAACUACGUGCCAGCAGCCGCGGUAAUACGUAGGGGGCUAGCGUUAUCCGGAUUUACUGGGCGUAAAGGGUGCGUAGGCGGUCUUUCAAGUCAGGAGUGAAAGGCUACGGCUCAACCGUAGUAAGCUCUUGAAACUGGGAGACUUGAGUGCAGGAGAGGAGAGUGGAAUUCCUAGUGUA